rnacentral:rRNA from 1 species
AUUGAACGCUGGCGGCAUGCCUUACACAUGCAAGUCGAACGGCAGCACGGGAGCAAUCCUGGUGGCGAGUGGCGAACGGGUGAGUAAUAUAUCGGAACGUGCCCAAUCGUGGGGGAUAACGUAGCGAAAGUUACGCUAAUACCGCAUACGAUCUACGAAUGAAAGCGGGGGAUCGCAAGACCUCGCGCGAAUGGAGCGGCCGAUAUCAGAUUAGGUAGUUGGUGAGGUAAAGGCUCACCAAGCCGACGAUCUGUAGCUGGUCUGAGAGGACGACCAGCCACACUGGGACUGAGACACGGACCAGACUCCUACGGGAGGCAGCAGUGGGGAAUUUUGGACAAUGGGCGCAAGCCUGAUCCAGCAAUGCCGCGUGCAGGAUGAAGGCCUUCGGGUUGUAAACUGCUUUUGUACGGAACGAAACGGCGAGCUCUAAUACAGUUUGCUAAUGACGGUACCGUAAGAAUAAGCACCGGCUAACUACGUGCCAGCAGCCGCCGUAAAAC